GACGAACGCUGGCGGCGUGCUUAACACAUGCAAGUCGAGCGAUGAAGCACCUUCGGGUGUGAAUUAGCGGCGAACGGGUGAGGAACACGUGAGAAAUCUGCCUUCAACACUGGGAUAACUCCGGGAAACCGGGGCUAAUACCGGAUAUGAAACCUGCGGGCAUCCGCGGGUUUGGAAAGUUUUUCGGUUGAAGAUGAUCUCGCGGCCUAUCAGCUUGUUGGUGAGGUAAUGGCUCACCAUGGCGACGACGGGUAGCCGGCCUGAGAGGGCGACCGGCCACACUGGGACUGAGACACGGCCCAGACUCCUACGGGAGGCAGCAGUGGGGAAUAUUGGGCAAUCGAGGAAACUCUGACCCAGCGACGCCGCGUGCGGGAUGAAGGCCUUCGGGUUGUAAACCGCUUUCAGCAGGGAAGAAGCGAAAGUGACGGUACCUGCAGAAGAAGCACCGGCUAACUAUGUGCCAGCAGCCGCGGUAAUACAUAGGGUGCAAGCGUUGUCCGGAAUUAUUGGGCGUAAAGAGCUCGUAGGUGGUUCGUCACGUCGGAUGUGAAACUCUGGGGCUUAACCCCAGACCUGCAUUCGAUACGGGCGAGCUUGAGUAUGGUAGGGGAGUCUGGAAUUCCUGGUGUAGCGGUGGAAUGCGCAGAUAUCAGGAGGAACACCAAUGGCGAAGGCAGGACUCUGGGCCAUUACUGAC
rnacentral:rRNA from 1 species